UGGGGAAUCUUGCGCAAUGGGCGAAAGCCUGACGCAGCAACGCCGCGUGGGUGAUGAAGGUCUUCGGAUCGUAAAGCCCUGUCAGGGGGGACGAGAAAGGACGGUACCCCCGAAGGAAGCACCGGCUAACUCCGUGCCAGCAGCCGCGGUAAUACGGAGGGUGCAAACGUUGUUCGGAAUUAUUGGGCGUAAAGCGCACGUAGGCGGCUAUGCAGGUCGGAUGUGAAAUCCCGGGGCUCAACCCCGGGCCUGCGUUCGAAACCGCAUAGCUGGAGUAUCGGAGGGAAAGGGGGAAUUCCUGGUGUAGGGGUGAAAUCCGUAGAUAUCAGGAGGAACACCGGUGGCGAAGGCGCCCUUUUGGCCGAUUACUGACGCUGAGGUGCGAAAGCGUGGGGAGCAAACAGG
rnacentral:rRNA from 1 species